rnacentral:misc_RNA from 1 species
CGCACAUUGCGCCCUUUGGCAUUCCGAAGGGCAUGCCUGUUCGAGCGUCAUUAUCCUCCCUCAAACCUCCCGGGUUUGGUGUUGGACCACGUUGGACCGUUCGCGGCCAACGGGUCUCAAAGACAAUGACGGCGUCCGUGGGACCCUCUUCGCACUGAGCUUUCCGGAGCACGCGUCGAGUUGCAAGGUCCCGGGGACCCGGCCUCCAAAAUUUAUUUUUUUUCAGGUUGACCUCGGAUCAGGUAGGAAUACCCGCUGAACUUAA